rnacentral:misc_RNA from 1 species
GAUGAAGAACGUAGCGAAAUGCGAUAAGUAACGUGAAUUGCAGAAUUCAGUGAAUCAUCGAAUCUUUGAACGCACAUUGCGCCCCCUGGUAUUCCGGGGGGCAUGCCUGUUCGAGCGUCAUUUCACCACUCAAGCCUCGCUUGGUAUUGGGCAACGCGGUCCGCCGCGUGCCUCAAAUCGACCGGCUGGGUCUUCUGUCCCCUAAGCGUUGUGGAAACUAUUCGCUAAAGGGUGUUCGGGAGGCUACGCCGUAAAACAACCCCAUUUCUAAGGUUGACCUCGGAUCAGGUAGGGAUACCCGCUGAACUUAAGCAUAUCAAUAAGCGGAGGA